UCCACUUUUCAACUCUGGGCACUCCUAUUCAACCUCACUAACACUACAUGGAUCAUGCUUGAAUACACAACAUUUUGCUAAGCCCCUGAAUUAGAAGGGGAGGAAGCAAAAGCCAAAAGAGAUGGUGGAGUAUAACAUCUUGUAUCCAGUGGACUGUAUGGAGGGAGAGAAAUGGUUAUUUUUCGCAACCGGAGAAAGACUCAAAAUUAAUUAUAAGCUCCAUAAAGCGCACAUAUGCAAUAAUGGAAUCAACUUUACAAAUAAUUUUGUUAUAACCAAAGAUUUAAACGAAGUGAUUCUACUAGGCAUCCCAUUUAUAACUCAAAUAAAACCAUAUGUCGCAGGGUUAGAUAGAAUCCACACCAUUGCGUUAGGAAAACAAAUUAUUUUUCCCUAUUUAAAUAGUAUGUCAAAAGAAGAAAGCGAGUUUAUAAAAGAUAAAAUUAUCUUUAGAAUAAAUCUACUUUCACAACAAAUUUGCUUUUUAAAGGAUGAUAUAAAGAUAAAAAACGAUUGAUCUUCUUUAAAAACCCCGGAGGUAGAAGCUAAGGUGAGGCAAAAUACUUACAAGUUGUUUAUUGGUAAUAGUAAAACAUAGGGAACAUUCAGAGAGAGAGAGAUGUAGGCAAUAUGAAAAUCAAGGAUGAUUUUCGGAUGCCUCUAUUAAUACAAAUUUUGGAAGUCUUAUAGACCUCAGAAUACCAAUCAACUAGUUGUUAUUAACUUUACAUGUGUCAAGCUAUAGCUUUAACUUUACUGAAAGGGCAAGCUGGAGAUAAGAUUUGAGUUAUUCCUUGUGGGCUUCAUCUUGUCUUUAUUAGCUAGCUUCUUUAUUCAUUUCUUGAAAGGGCACAAUAACUUUAACUUUUUCCAAAAGGGCAAGGUUGCUUUUCUCUUUAAUCAAGAAGAUGAGCUUGAGCUAUCUCUUGUGGAUCCAUCAUGUCUCCAUUCUUUGGGGUCACUCGCAUGUGAAGUCGCAGUGUCUAACAAUCUUAUGAUUUGUCCCUAUCCGCAUUAUUGUCUAAUUUUGAUAAGGCUUCUUCGAGCCUUUUUUUUUUUUUUUUUUAACCCUUCUUAGAAACUCAGGGUUCCUCUCUUAAUGAAAAUGCUAAGGAUGGUGACGCCUUAUUUUCUUUGGGUUUUACGCCCAACCUUUGAUUCGGAUAGUCUUAACGCCCAACCUUUGAUUCGGAUAGUCUUACUUAGAUAAUUGAUCCUUUCAAAUUCAUGGACGUCGAAAGACCAACUAAUAAUGUAAGAAAUUCUUUUUUCUAUAAAGAAUUUACAACUAUAAUAUAAGAAAUUCUUUUUGCUAUAAAGAAUUUACACCAUUUAACAUUAUCUGAUAGAGUAGAGAGAACAAGACUUGUUAAAACCUUGUUAUCAAUCGGAACUAUGUGGAGACGGAUGAUCCCCUCAGGACCUGAAGGUAUUACGAGUUCAUAUUAGCUGACACCAAUUAAUGGCUAUUGAGCAUAUAUUAGAAGAUAAAAAUAAUCCUGAUAGUCAGGUUUUAAAAUUCAUAAUUAAAAGGAUCUUGAGCCCUUUUGAAUGGUUCGUAGAUCAUCUACACUCGCCCAUUCCUCUGUCAAGAGUUCAUCGACCACAAACAUAUAAUUAGUAUGAUUAUAAGGACGCCUAGUAAAACUCAUGUAUCUAAGGCCCAAUACUCCCAUUCCUGGUUUGUAAAGUAUACAGAAGAAAAUAAAAGAGCAGUCAUCCUCAGAUGGUUUUACGAAUGGUGGAGCCGGUUGGGAGGAAAUAAACAGGCGUUGUCCAAACAUUUCCAGACUCAGUUUGAAAGGUUCCAGGUAGAACAGAGUAUCUCUACUCUACCGGAUAAUAUUAAAUGAUGUAAAUUCUUUAUAGCAAAAAGAAUUUCUUGGUCUUUCGACGUCCAUGAAUUUGAAAGGUUCAAUUAUCUAAGACAGACUAUCAAAAUCAAAGGUUGGGCGUAAAACCCAAAGAAGAUAAGGCAGCACCAUCCUCAACAUUUUCAUUAAGAGAGGAACCCCGAGUUUUUAAAGAAGCAUCAAAAAUAGACAAUAAUGCAGAACAGAGAGAAAUCAUAGAAUUGUUAGACUCCGCAUUUUAACAUGCAAGUGACCCCAGCAAUAGAGACACAAGAGAUAGCUCAAGCUUAUCUCCUUGACUAAAGAGAAAAGCAAGUUUGCCCUUACGGAAAAGUUAAAGUUAUUGUGCCCCUUCAAGAAAGGAUUAAAGAAGCCAUCUAAUAAAGACAAGAUGGACCCCACAAGGGAUAACCAAUUUUAUAUCCAGCUUGCCCUGUCAGUAAAGUUAAAGCUAUUGUGUCCUUCAAUGGAAUGAAAAAGCCAGUUGCCCAGACAGCUUGACACUUGUAAAGUAAAUAGCGACUAAUUGAUUAGUAUCCUGAGGUCUAUUUAAGACUUUCAUAUUGUAUCAAUAGAGGCAUCCGAAAACCAUCCUUGACUUUCAAAUUGCCUACGUCUCUCUCUGAAUGUUUUACUAUUAUCAAUAAACAGCUUGUAUUCGUUAAUUCGUAUGAUCAACAGGAUUCCACAGUAAAGCAGGAUUGCACAGUACCAGUUUCUCAAAAAAAAUGUGCAGCAAUAGAACCCGCAAGGGUGGCUGAGUUGGUUCAGUGAAUGGUUUUCCACAUGGGAGACCUGGGAUCAAUUCCCCUCGGCAACAACCUUCUCAGUCUGAGCUCGUCACACUUGGCUUGCCUAGUGCAGUUUACAUCUCUUGUGAAUGUGUGGUUUGCGGGCUAGUGCACUAGCGGGGUUUACCCAAAGUGCAUCCAAAGGAUAGCGGUUGCGGGUUUCCUAGUUAUCAAAAACCAUAUGUACAGCGAUGGAGAUUAGCAAACUCAGGUUACAAAGCUGGUUGGAUUGGGCAUAGGAACUGGGCUAAGUUGGGGAUUGUUUCAAAAUGGGUUGUGAUUAAAUGGGUUAAAAUUGAGCCCAUUACUAAAUUAUGUUGGGCCCAACCCAUAAAAUUCUGGGCGGGCCACUAAUAUUUGGGCCACAUUUGCCACCCCAAUACUGAACUUACUAGUUAUUUGUGACAAUGGCUGCAAAGUUAGUAUAAAGUUUGAUCAUUGGGGUCCUUUGCUUUUGAUAGAAUAUUGAAACUCUAAUAUUAUGAUACAGCUUGUUCAUGUUCUUAAGUUCUUGGGUGUAGUUAGAGUUUCUCGUCCCAUAUCCUUCUUUGGGAAUAGUAAGCAAUUAUCGUGUU